UAAACUAGGAUUAGAUACCCUAUUAUUUUGGAAUGUUAAGUUUGAUGCCUGAGUAGUAUUAGUUAUGUUCUUGAAACUUAAAGAAUUUGGCGGUAUCUCAUUCCGUCCAGAGGAAUCUGUCUCGUUAUCGAUAGUCCACGUUGGACCUUACUUAGAUUGCUAUAUGGUUUGUAUACCGCCGUUUAUUGAUUAUCUUUUUAGAGUUUAAGUAAUUUUCUAUCUUCUUUAUUUGGAUCUAUUUCAGGUCAAGGUGCAGCUUGUUUCUAAGUGAAUGAUGGAUUACAUUAAUAUUUGUUUUUGGAUUGUUGAUUUUAAUAUUGACAUGAAAUUGGAUUUGGUUGUAAUGAUUUAUAGAUUGUUUUCAUGAUAAUGGUUCUGGGAUAUGUACACAUCGCCCGUCGCUCUCGUUCGAUUAAUGAGAUAAGUCGUAACAUAGUA
rnacentral:rRNA from 1 species